rnacentral:rRNA from 1 species
UACGGGGGGGGCAAGCGUUGUUCGGAAUUACUGGGCGUAAAGGGCUCGUAGGCGGCCAACUAAGUCAGAUGUGAAAGCCCCGGGCUCAACCCGGGAACGGCGUUUGAAACUGGCAGGCUAGAGUUUGGCAGAGGGGGGUGGAAUUCCACGUGUAGCAGUGAAAUGCGUAGAGAUGUGGAGGAACACCGAUGGCGAAGGCAGCCCCCUGGGCCAAAACUGACGCUCAGGCACGAAAGCGUGGGGAGCAAACAGG